rnacentral:piRNA from 1 species
UAAAAAUAGAGAUUUGUCUCAGGUAUCAUAC